GACGAACGCUGGCGGCGUGCUUAACACAUGCAAGUCGAACGGAAAGGCCCUGCUUUUGUGGGGUGCACGAGUGGCGAACGGGUGAGUAACACGUGAGUAACCUGCCCUUGACUUUGGGAUAACUUCAGGGAACUGGGGCUCAUACCGGAUAGGAGCUCCUGCUGCAUGGGGGGGGUUGGAAAGUUUCGGCGGUUGGGGAUGGACUCGCGGCUUAUCAGCUUGUUUGUGGGGUAGUGGCUUACCAAGGCUUUGACGGGUAGCCGGCCUGGGAGGUUGACCGGCCACAUGGGGACUGAGAUACGGCGCAGACUCCUACGGGAGGCAGCAGUGGGGAAUAUUGCACAAUGGGCGGAAGCCUGAGGCAGCAACCCCGCGAGCGGGAUGAAGGCCUUCGGGUUGUAAACCGCUUUCUCCUGAGACGAAGCGGGAGUGACGGUAAUGGGUAAGGAAGCACCGGCUAACUACGUG
rnacentral:rRNA from 1 species